UCUCCGUUUACAUGUCAAGAAGAAGAAGAAAUUUUGACAGAAGAAGACCUCGGAUCGCUCACAAGUCGUCAUUCAACACCUCUAGUUUAAUUCGAUUGCAAGCGCAACUGAAUCUAGCCCUCAAACUUGCUUCCUGCAAAUGUGAGAAUAUAUAGAGCCAAUUUUGAUCGCUGAUUACAUUUUCCCUGCUUUGCUGAAUGCCAAUAUGCCGCAACCCGCAAUCAUAAAUCCUACGCGAGAUUACAGAGAAUCAACGGCUUCACAACUAUCAAACUAAAGGAUUUAUGGCAUAGAUAUAUUCUUACAUAUGAUGGUUGAGGGCUUGAGGCAGAGGUGGAGUUUGAGGAAGGGCUGCUGGAAACAAAG